UACGCGUCGCGGAACUCGCUGGAACUUGCGGAGAUAGCCAUUUGUUUUUUUCGUCUGCUACUCAUCAAAAAAGGAAAACCACAUAGCAGAAUCAUAUGUGUAUUUAGUAGAACGUCUAAACUUGGUUCUAAAUAGUAUAGUUGAAAAUCAAUCCUUAAUGAAAACGUCCGAAAUGAGGGAAAUGGAAAAUUUCUAUUUGUACGCAGAAGAAGCUUAUUUUUUGGAAAAUGUUGAUGAAGCGAAAAAUUAUUAUUCUACAAUAUUGGCAAAUAACACAAAAGAUCCAAAUGCUUGGAUUAAUUAUGCUAUUUUUUUGAAAAAAAAUUCGGAAACCGAGAGAGCACUUGAAUGUUCGAAGGAAGCAAUCGCUUUGAAUAAUCAACACAAAAUAGG